CUCCUGAUCCGAAAGUGUACGGCCGCGUCUCCGCCCUUCCACCCCUCUUUAACGGGGACCCCCCCCCCCGGGCGGCCACUCUAGAUAAAGGAGUGAAGUCCCCCCCCCUCCGGGGUCUGCUAAAGGUGGACCCCCUGCCUCGGGUGCAACAGCCCGCGGUCCCCAAAGUCCAGUCUGGAGUAGCAGAGCGCAGAGCACGGACCACAGUCUUGGAGCCCAUAGAGGGUAUGGACCCUGGGCAGUUGUAAACAAGAGGACCUCCAGGGCACUUCUGAGUGAGGAAGGGGAUGCUGGAGCUGCUGCAGCCAUUUUGGCACCUUGAGUCACUGGCUUUGGCAAACCACGCUGCCAUGAGGUAAAUGACCAAGAUAGAGGAACUCACAUGAUACAGAAGGAUCGGUGACCUGAGAGCUGCUUCCAGCAAGAUACUGAAGCAUCAGCCUUGCCUGCAGCUGCUAGGAGAUGAAUUCCACCAACAGCCUCAAACUCCACAAGAAGUGGACCUGACCCCAGCUGAGCAUCUGAUGAGAAUACAGCCCAGCUUAUCCCAGGAUGGCUGCCUGCUCAGACCCUGAAGCAGGAACCCAGCUAAGCCAGCCUUGGACUCCUGGCCCAACAGAAACCAUGAGAUAACAAAUGUGUGUUGAUUUAAGAUGCUAAAUUUGCACUAGUUAGUUAUGCACUAUCAGAAAACGACUUCAGCUGGAGAACCAGCCUUGGGACCCUGCAGCCAGGAAAAGGCCCUGAAACCAAACCCCAAAAUUGGCCUAUGAGGAUAUUUCUCUGGGCACCACAGCCCCGGGAACUCAGCCUUGCUGUCCCAUCUCUGUCUCUGGAGAGACUGACUUCUAGCUGUGUCUCGAGCCCCCCAUGAAAAGCCUGGGAACAGAUGCAUCUGGUCACAGACCCCAGGAUUCAGGUCCCCUCCUCCAGCUGCAAGGGAAGCUGGGAAAUGUCUUCUGAGGUUGUUUCUGCGCUGGGGUUCACGGGGAGGGGAGUGGCCCAGACGUGGGAAGGUUGUCACCAUUCUGUUCAGCCCGCCAUGAGCAAUGGGCUUCACGAACCACUUCUUCUCUUUUUUUUUUUUUAUAUUUAAUUUUGUAAAUUUUUAUCUUUUUUAAAAAAAAUUAAUUAAUUAAUUUACUUUUGGCUGUGCUGGGUCUUCGUUUCUGUGCGAGGGCUUUCUCCAGUUGCGGCAAGCGGGGGCCACUCUUCAUCGCGGUGCGCGGGCCUCUCACCAUCGCGGCCUCUCCUGUUGCGGAGCACAGGCUCCAGACGCGCAGGCUCAGUAGUUGUGGCUCACGGGCCCAGUUGCUCCGCGGCGUGUGGGAUCUUCCCAGACCAGGGCUCGAACCCGUGUC